CACUCCUACGGGAGGCAGCAGUGGGGAAUUUUGGACAAUGGGCGAAAGCCUGAUCCAGCAAUGCCGCGUGAGUGAAGAAGGCCUUCGGGUUGUAAAGCUCUUUUGUCAGGGAAGAAACGGUGAAAGCUAAUAUCUUUUGCUAAUGACGGUACCUGAAGAAUAAGCACCGGCUAACUACGUGCCAGCAGCCGCGGUAAUACGUAGGGUGCAAGCGUUAAUCGGAAUUACUGGGCGUAAAGUGUGCGCAGGCGGUUUUGUAAGUCUGAUGUGAAAUCCCCGGGCUCAACCUGGGAAUUGCAUUGGAGACUGCAAGGCUAGAAUCUGGCAGAGGGGGGUAGAAUUCCACGUGUAGCAGUGAAAUGCGUAGAUAUGUGGAGGAACACCGAUGGCGAAGGCAGCCCCCUGGGUCAAGAUUGACGCUCAUGCACGAAAGCGUGGGGAGCAAACAGGAUUAGAUACCCUAGUAGUCC
rnacentral:rRNA from 1 species